UACGUAGGGUGCAAGCGUUAAUCGGAAUACUGGGCGUAAAGCGUGCGCAGGCGGUGAUGUAAGACAGGUGUGAAAUCCCCGGGCUUAACCUGGGAACUGCAUUUGUGACUGCAUCGCUGGAGUGCGGCAGAGGGGGAUGGAAUCCGCGUGUAGCAGUGAAAUGCGUAGAUAUGCGGAGGAACACCGAUGGCGAAGGCAAUCCCCGUGGGCCU
rnacentral:rRNA from 1 species